CGGUACUACUAUUAUUAUAAUAUAGGAUAAGCAUCACUUACAUAGUAUAUUUAUACUACUAUUUGAAUAUAAUAUAAGAUAGAUUAUGUUACAUAUGGAAUAAAAAUAUUAUUUUAAAAUUUAAAUUAAUGAAUUAAUGACAAAUAAGCAAAAUUACCGAAAAUAAACGAAGUCAUGAUAAAUAAGCAAAAUUACAUAAAUUCUGAAAAACAUGACAGAUAAGCAAAAUCAAAUUUAAAUUAAUAAAGUAAUGACAAUUAAUAAAAUUACCUAAAUUUAUGGAGGACAUGACAAAUAUGGAGGAGAUGACAAAUAAUCAAAAUUAUCUAAACUUUGGAAAAUAUGGCAAAUCAGCAAAAUCACUUUUCAAAUAAUAGUAUAGAUUACUCCCCAAAAGGGUAAAAAGGGCAAACAUUGUGCACAUAAAUUUCUAAUUUUUUUUCAUUACCUAGAGUGAUUAAGGCUUGGUAUUUUAUUCGAUAUCUGAAUCCGUAUUUGAAUCUGAUUUUAAAAAUCCGAACCGAAAUCCGAACCAAAAUAGCAAAAUACUCAAAUGGGUAUUAACUUAGGAAAAAUUGGAUAUCCGAAUUUGCACGGGUAAUAUCCAAAUACGAAUACAUUCAAAGAAAACCAAACAUAUGUAUACGUAACCCUAUAUUCCUAGUUUAACAUGAGACAUUGAUGUACGUGCUUAACAUGGAGAGUAAUUAUAAUCAAAACAAAUUAUUAUCUUAAUUAGAAAAAUGAAAAGAAGUAGCAAUUUGAUGAAUUUUCUAGUGAUAAUUUAAUUUUGCCAACUAUAUGAAAAUGUUUAUUCUUGAUUUCAGUUGAUAAACUAUAUCAAUAUAUAUAUUAUAUAAAAUUAUAUAGUCAUUACUAAUAUUGAGCUGUUACUAAAGUGUUGGUAUUCUAGUGGUAAUAUAAAUGAGCUAGUGGUAAUAUAUGUGGGUUAAUUUUAGGUUUUAGUUCAAAUCACUUUUAAUUUUAGAGGGAGGGUUAUUCUUUAUUUUUUUUACAACGAUAACUAAAUUACGAAGUUUUUCCUGCCUGUUCAGAUAGCUAAACUGGAGGUGUAGAAUCGACAUAGAACAUAGCAGAAGGGGAACUUCUACCACUUCGUGCAAGCUUAUUUGCCAAUGAAUUGUGUGCUCUUGGUAUAUGUUUGAUCUUGAAGGUAGCAGAGAAAGUCUUACUGCGUCAAAAUUCUUCCAAGUAUGUAGCAAAUGCUGGUCAUUCUUCGAGUGGCGACACCAUCUUCACCAAUUGGUAACAAUCUGUUACAAAAACUACGUUGGAAAAGUUAAGGAUCUUCAUUCACUCUAUAGCCUAGAUCAUAGCUUCACAUUCUGCAUGUAAAGCUGUUAUGCUCCUUCAGAGAUUCAUCGCCCUCAUCAUUUACUCAUCUGAACCUACGGUUCGACAUAAUCAUCCUUGUCCUGUGAACACAUCUUGUUCCCUCCAUGCACCAUCGAUAAAGCAUAUUAUGGAAUGUCCUAAGGAUUGCCAGUCAAAAGCCGGUAGAACCUCUUUGUGCCUUCCUGAAAUUGUAAGUUCAGUCUCUGCCCACAAUGCUCCCUUCACUUCCGCUAUCCUAAGUAUCUCUUGCGGAUUUCCAUCCUUAUUGUUAUAAAUCUUAUCGUUUCUAUUCUUCCAAAUAUACCACAAGUCCAAGGAAAGGUACUGAAGUAUUAAUCCUUCGGAAGUCUCCUAGUAAAGAUCAAAGAGGAUGGGAAAAUUCCAGGGUGUGAUGGGAUUUUUGACAAAGCUAAGGUUUGCAAAGCUGGAAGACACUCAAAGAGAACAUGAUUAAUUGAUUCUUCCUCGCACCAAAAAUACUACAUGGAGUAUCACAGUCGAUACCAUGUGCCUUUUUUGCGUCCGGUAGAGUGCCCAAAAUAGUUUGCCAGAAAAAGGCUUCACAGUUCAAUUUCCACGUGAAGGCCAACAAAGGUUUAGUAUCCGGACCAUAAGAAACCAUCCUUUGUCCCUUAUCUGGAUAUGAUGAGUCAGUUUUAUACCCUGACUUAACAGUGUAUUUGCCCGACUCUGUGAACAUCCAACCGUAGGAAUCUGGCCGAUGAUUCCGACUUAUGGCCAAGCCUUUCAUGAUCUUCACAUCGUCUCAAUGUACAUAUGCAUUAAGCAAAUCCACAUUCCAUGAGAGAUUGACUGGAUUGAUGAGAUGUUCCAGCUUUAGAGAAAUGUUUAAAAAUUGGGGUUGCGUUUUUCGUAUUGCUGACCUCGGGCGAGAAGCAAGAAUCCAAAAAAUGUUAUUUAUUAAGUUUUUAUUUUUGGAAAACUGGCUCUAAGUUAUGAACUUAAACCCAAAACUUCCAUUAAUAAAAAAAAGACUAGCCAUUGUUGGUCUUUGUUUCUAUUAACCGCCAUCUUUACCAAAUAAUGCAUUUCGGCAAGUCAAUUUUGUUUCAGUGGUCAGUUUAAUUCGGUAUAAUAAAUUUGUAAAUAAAUUUCUAUAUAAAUCAUAUAUAUAUAUAUAUAUAUAUAUUUAUUUAUUUUAUUUUUAUGAUAAAAUAUUAUAUUUGUAAAUAAGUCUCUUUGUAAUGUCCUCACCAGAAUAAAUAAUGAGUGAAUUUGUGAACUAACCAAAAUUUUAAUAAUCAUGAAAAAUAUCUUAUUAUAAAAAGAAGAGUUUUUCUCACAUGUGAAGCUACCACAUCAUCAAUUUGGAUGUCCACAAUACGACACGUGUCCAUUUAUCCAAAAGGCACCGUUUCAUUUAAUUGAGAAUACAAUUGAUUGGGCCCGUAUCUUUAGUAAUAUUGGUCCAUUUCUCGAUAGAAAGUCUCCCUUGCAGGCUCCGACGCUUCCAUCACAUCUUCUCGCCGUCAAGCUUCUUCGUCUCUUCUUCUCACCGGCGACCAAAACCUACAAACGUUACGGAAUCAGUCUGAAUUGAAGUGUCAUCUUUAAAGCACUCUAAUUAACAAUAGCUCCCCACUCCUACCACUUCCUCCCUCUGGAUCUUCCACUAUAAAAAGGAAAGAACUUUGGAUUGGGGAUUUGACAAGGGAACUGAGUGGCAACACGACAGAGAGUCAAGAUACAUGCCAGUGAAGAUGUUAACUAAACUGAAUGUGAUUUUUAUGUUUAUACUUUCUUGAAUUUAUUUUACAUUGGUUUAAUGUUUUCUUCUGAUUUUGAUUCUCAGGCUGAAAAAAUGGAUCUGAGAGCGAUUGGAUCCACAUGGAGAUCCAAAUCCAAAAUAGAAGCCAAGGAUUUUUGUGAAUAAAGAUAAGUAGAGAUGUGAGAGACGUGACCAACAGAUUCUCCAACAAAAGCCAAAGAGAUCAUAUAAUUAGGCAGAGGAGCACAUGUACAUGAAGCUACAGUAGAGGAGAUAUGUGGUUCAUGGUCAGUAGAGGAAAUCUAUGUAGGCUCUAAACAGGUUAGAACAAAAGAAAACAUCAAGGUUAGAGUUUUCACCAAGAGCAUCUGAAAAAUGCAGAGCUAGAGCUAUUGUAGAUUGAGAGCUCGAACUUUUGAUGGAAGCAGCAGAUGGAGGAAUGAGAACGGACGGCCUUGCAAUAUUGAAAUGAUUGACCGAUCCUCAAAAGGAUUUUAGAGAUGCAGUGAUUGAGAUGAUCAUGGAGAAUGGUAUCAACCACCCAGAAGAACUCAAACAGGUUCACAGUUGUUAUAUCAGUCAAAGAAAACAUGAUCCAGCGAAAGGUUAUUAUUAUCAAAAGAAUGUUUUAGGAUCAUGGAUAUUGGUUAAAGUAGUGUAAAGCUUAUAUGAUUUUUUUUCUAACA